UUUUCACUCAAAUGACAAGACAAAGAAGUUAUGGUUCCCACCUACGCCUCUCAAAAAUAGGCAAUAAAGUAUGAGAAAGGUCACAACUCCAUCCUCAAUUCGGCCUUC
ensembl:ncRNA T19D2.10 ncRNA